rnacentral:rRNA from 1 species
UAGAGUUUGAUCCUGGCUCAGGAUGAACGCUAGCUACAGGCUUAACACAUGCAAGUCGAGGGGCAGCAUGCAGGUAGCUUGCUAUCUGUGAUGGCGACCGGCGCACGGGUGAGUAACGCGUAUCCAACCUUCCCCGUAGUAGGGCACAGCCCGGCGAAAGUCGGAUUAAUUCCCUAUGUUCUUGACAGCAGACAUCUAACGUCAAGCAAAGAUUCAUCGCUAUGGGAUGGGGAUGCGCCUGAUUAGCUUGUUGGCGGGGCAACGGCCCACCAAGGCAACGAUCAGUAGGGGUUCUGAGAGGAAAGUCCCCCACAUUGGAACUGAGACACGGUCCAAACUCCUACGGGAGGCAGCAGUGAGGAAUAUUGGUCAAUGGCCGUAAGGCUGAACCAGCCAAGUAGCGUGCAGGAGGACGGCCCUAUGGGUUGUAAACUGCUUUUGUACGGGGACAAAGUGUGCGACGUGUCGCCCAUUGCGGGUACCGUACGAAUAAGGACCGGCUAAUUCCGUGCCAGCAGCCGCGGUAAUACGGAAGGUCCGGGCGUUAUCCGGAUUUAUUGGGUUUAAAGGGAGCGCAGGCCGCCUGUCAAGCGUGUUGUGAAAUGUAGGGGCCCAACCCCUGAGUUGCAGCGCGAACUGGCGGGCUUGAGUACGCACAACGCUGGUGGAACUCGCCGUGUAGCGGUGAAAUGCUUAGAUAUGGCGAAGAACUCCGAUUGCGAAGGCAGCUGGCGGGGGCGCAACUGACGCUCGUGCUCGAAAGUGCGGGUAUCGAAAAGGAUUAGAUACCCUGGUAGUCCGCACGGUAAACGAUGGAAGGCCGCUAUGCGUACAAUGGUAUGCGUGGCCACAGCGAAAGCGCUUAAGCAUCCCACCUGGGGAGUCGCCCGCCGGCGG